CUGGGCCUGAGCAGUCACCAUCACCAGGGAGGCUGCUUUACUGGUGCUGCCUCUGACAAAGCCCCUUCUUCAGCUUCACUGACCACAACUUGUCCCUGGAGAUGACAGUCCCAGUCAAAAUGGCUCUUGAAACCUCCAGUGCCUUCUCCAUGCUCAGUCCCAGCACGAGGCCAUCUUACCCAAUCGUCCGAUGUCUGCUUCUCUGUCUCUCUCCCUACCACCCUUCCUUUGAUGGCUGCACCUGGGCCCCUGCUCCCCUGCGUAGCCAGUAUUUCCACCAACAGAAGUCAAGCAGGCUGCUCCACCUAGAGUAUGCCCCGCCCCACUGCCGCCACCCACACAUUGAAGCCCCAACCCCGCAGGACUCCUCAACAUGAUUGUAAGGGAUCACCAAGUUAAGAUGAGAUCACAAAAAUAGACAGUGGUCCGGUGUGACCGGUGUACUUGAGAGUAGGGACACCAAGGACAUCCCAGAGGGAAAAGCCAGGAGCCCGCAGUGGGAAAAGGCAGCCUCGGACACAGAGCCGCCACAGCAGGAACCAGCCUCACCUUGGAUUCUGCCGACGCCCAGCCUCUGGAACUGGGAAAUCCAGUUCUCUUCUUGCAGUUGUUUCUCCUGGCAGGAUGGCUCUCGUAAACAAUAAUAGUAAUAAUAAUAACGAUUUCAGGGGGAAAGGAGUUCAUCGCCCGUGAAGCAAGCCAAGAAGCCGCACCUGCAGGCUGGCAGAGCUAUCACUGGUCCUGAGGCCUCGAGACAGGAUAUGGUCCUAUAAGAGUUUUCCAAGAAGUGGACGAGGGGAGGGAGACCCACCCAGAAGGUGGGCAGCUCCUUCCCAUGAGCUGGGGUCCCUGUCUGAAUCAAAGGGGGAAAUCAGCCGAGCAUCUGAUUCAUCUGUCUCUGCUUCCCAACUGUGGACACAACGUGACCAGCCAUCUCAUACCCCUGACUGCAUUUCCACCAUGAUGGACUCUAUCUCUAAGUGUGGACCAGAAGAAAACUUUCUUUCAUUACUUGCUUUUGGGAGGCAUUUUGUCACAGCCAUAAGAAAAGCAGCUAGCAUACCAUCCACAGAGCCAACCAACAAUGGGUAGAAAAUAUUCAGGGGGAAAUAAAGGCUAUGUAUAUUCUAAA